AGCGAGCGCUUGCGGCAGGGUUAACACAUGAAAGUCGAACGGUCCUUCGGGAUAGUGGCGGACGGGUGAGUAACACGUGGGAACGUACCCUUAGGUUCGGAACAACACAGGGAAACUUGUGCUAAUACCGGAUAAGCCCUUCGGGGGAAAGAUGUAUCGCCUUUGGAGCGGCCCGCGUCUGAUUAGCUUGUUGGUGAGGUAAUGGCUCACCAAGGCUACGAUCAGUAGCUGGUCUGAUAGGAUGGCCAGCCACACUGUGACUGAGACACGGCCCAACCUCCUACGGGAGGCAGCAGUGGGGAAUCUUGCGCAAUGCGCGGAAGCCUGACGCAGCCAUGCCGCGUGGAUGAUGAAGGUCGUAGGAUUGUAAAAUCCUUUCACCGGGGACGAUAAUGACGGUACCCGGAGAAGAAGCCCCGGCUAACUUCGUGCCACCCGCCGCAGUAA
rnacentral:rRNA from 1 species